AACCUGAGCCACAGUGAGACAGCUUCUCAGAUAUACAGAAAACUGGAUGGAUUCUCCAGGAUGACUUAACCUUUGACAGUCCUGGAAAAAGCUGAUGUUCACUAUGGUAUAUUUUACUUAGCAGCUGUUUCCUAUGUGUAAAUAUUGUGUUUUCAACUAGACUGAACCUUCUUGACAGGAAGACCAAGUCAUCUACUUCUUUGUCUCCCAUACAACCACCUUCAUCCCUAUCGUGAGAUUAAUGGCAUCACCUUCACAUGAGGGUAGUUUAGGAAACGGACCCAAGCGUCUAAACAAAGCCUAGCACAGCCCUGGUGCUCAACUGAUGUUGAAGGAAUGAUGCUAGUGUUUUGUGCAGUUCAAGAAGCACUGGAAUGAUUGAUGUAAGGGAUCCCUUUGUCAUCUUCAGAGCUUCAGUAUAUGCUUAGCCUGUCAUCCUUUUCUCCCCAAACCUUACUAAUGCUCCUCUCUCUACAAUUACAGUAAUCUCUGAAAUCCCACAAAUUCUCAGAGAUUUUCCCGAAAAGGUCUUAUGUUUUUCUUCAAUCCCAUGAAGAGUGAAUUGCAACUCCCAUGACUUUCAUCCCUCUGCUCUUCUCAAAAGGCUUCUGUUCCCUAAAAAAAAAACAGUUCUCUCUAAUCCAUACUCGAUGUGAAGAGUUUGCAGGUUAAUAUUUAUAUUUUAUUUUCUCUUCUCUCCUGUCAUGUUCACAUCCCAUGGCCAUCUUCGAGUAUAUGGUUUUACUGUCUUGGUGGAACAUACCUUUGUCAUGAUGUUUUUACAGUUUCCAGUAGGCAACUAGGUGCUUACAAUCACCUUAAGAAAUAAGAAAUUAGGGAUUUAAGGAUGCAGGCCCUUCCAAAACAUUAUUUUCAUCAGAUGCUUUCCAACAUCAAAAUAUUUUGGAAUGGAAAAAGGGGAGAAUUAGUUUGCGAUGGACUCUUCUGUGAAAUUCUGGGAUCAUUCAACAUGUCUGUCCUGUACCACUUAUAUAACUAAUGAGGAACUGGUGAGGUAGAGGAUGCCAAAGUGACAGACUCCAACAGGAUGAGUCAACAAGGGUAUUUAAUAGAUUUAAUUUGUCUUUGUAUAAAUAUAAUUUUAAAAAGCACAUUUUUAAUCUUGAAAACUUAAAAGAAAAAAAAUUUAUUUUUUAUUUAUUCAUUUAUUUAUUUUUUGUCUUCUGAGGGCUGUACUUGUGGCAUAUGGAGGUUCCCAGGCUAGGGGGCUAAUCCAAGCUGUUGCCGCUGGCCUACGCCACAGCCACAGCAGGACAGGAUCCGAGCCGCGUCUGCGGCCUACACCACAGCUCACGGCAACACCGGAUCCUUAACCCACUGAGCGAGGCCAGGGAUCAAACCUGCAACCUCAUGGUUCCUAGUCAGAUUUGUUUCCACUGCGCCAUGACAGGAACUCCAAAAGAAAAAAUUUUAAAUGGGCCAUGUUCCCAUCACCCUGACAAGACUAUUUCUGUAUACUUUAGAAAUACUAUUUGGGUACAGUACCUGUGUGGAAAACCCAGUUUCUGCCCAGUUACAAAUCUCAAUGGGAGGAGAUGAGGGCUGCACAGUUGAAGUAGUUACAAAACUAGGGUGAAAUCGUGUGUAACAAGUGCUAGAUGGAGCAUUUACAAAGUAGAGAAAAUGGAGCCUAAACAGUCUUGGCUGCCAAACCUGCUUCAAGAUACCAUAACCAAAGAAUGAGAAAAUGUCCAUUUUAGUUUUGGCUAAAACCCAAACUCCCUACUUUUAGCGACCCGCUGGUUGAAUGACAAACAUGGAGGAAAUGUUCCUGGGCCCAAUAACAUCCACUGACCCAAGUGGAAGACAAGGAUUCUUAGCCCAUCAAUGCUGAUACAACCAAAGCUUCAAACAAGUUGGUCGUGAGAGGUUUUGCGAAGCUUUCUUCCCAUUUGUCCCCUACUUAGCAAUGGCUUGACACCCCUGUAGAGACAGGGCCAAAACAAACUCCAAGCUAGGCCUGAACAUUUGGGCAAAUACAAAAAAGCAAAUCCCAGCCUUGAGGACGUUAAGUCCUCACUGUUCUCCCAGAACAAACGAAAGCCUGAGAAAAGCAAGCAGUUGUACAUGUUUGUGCUGGGAAAUUCUUAAAAUGUGCCCUUUAUUUGUGCAGAGUAUGUAUCAGAUCUCCCCACUCAAUGAAAAGCGCUGCCACCUUAACACUGGAUGGCUUUCUCUUUUGUGUAAAGUGGUGUGGGGGCUGCUUUUCACCCAGGUGUGAGAAUCAGGAUCUUCUCAUUCACACCUGCAAUUCUAGUUUGAAAAUCAAGAUCCAUGAAUCUUAAAAAUUAUUUUCAUCACGCACAUCAAGUUUGAAAAAUUAAUGAACAAAUUAAGAAAUUUCUACUCUAACGUUGCCUACUUCUCUUGCCAACUAAUAUCAAGAUUUUUUUUCCAAAUCACAAAUACGAUGACUUGCCCUGGGAUUCUAGAAAAUUUGGUAAACAAUGAUUUUCUCUAAAUACGAAGGGUAAAAUGGAAUCACAGAAUUUUAGAACUAUACACAAGUUUUGGAGAUUUUUCAGUCCUUUUUCCUUUAUUUUACAGUUGAGAUUUGGGGUAAUUUAGAGAUUAUCUAGAUAAGGUAACUAAUUAGUGGAAGAAUCCCUCCCACGCUUGUGCCUGAGUGAACAUUCAGCUAACAUUUUUUGGACGUCUUGCCUAUAUUAAGAACUUGUAUGUUCUUGUCUCUGGAUUUACCAAGAUGGGAAAACUUCUCAAGGAGUUUACAUUCAAGUGGGUGCAGAUUACUCAUAGUUAAAUCUUAGAAAAAUGUUAAAUAUUUAUUAUUUAAUACAUUUUUCGGUUAAAAAAAAAACCAAGAUCUACCAUCUAUAUAACUCCCACUUCAUUAACUGUGUCAGCUGAAGAAAUAUGGCCAUAACGUGCUUCAGAUCCUAAAACCUAAAGUAGCUCCUCAUUAUCCCAAUACAAGUCAUCCAGGGGACUAAGCUAUGGAUUGUGCAAGGCAGCAAAAGUGGUUUUAAACAGAAAAUAUUCACUGAAUGAGUUUCCACUUAAAAGUUAGUGCCCUCUCCAUAUAGCUGGACAAAACUAUAAUUCAAAAAGAUACAUGGACCCCUAUGUUCAUUUUAGCACGAUUCACGACAGCCAAGACAUGGAAACAACCUAAAUGUCCAUCAACAGAUGAGUGGAUUAAGAAGAUGUGGUACAUAUAUGCAAUGGAAUACUACUCAGCCAUAAAAAGAACAAAAUAAUGCCAUUUGCAGCAACAUGAAUGGAACUAGAGACUCUCAUACUAAGUGAAGUAAGUCAGAAAGAGAAAGACACAUACCAUAUGAUAUCACUUAUAUGUGGAAUCUAAUGGCACAGAUGAACCUAUCUACAAAACAGAAACAAACUCGCAGACCUAGAGAACAGACUUGUAGUUGCCAAGGGAAAGGGUGGAGGAAGUGGGAUGGAUGGGGAGUUUGGGAUCGGUAGAUGCAAGUUAUUUCAUUUAGAAUGGAUAAGCAAUGAAGUCCUGCUGUAUAGCACAGGGAACUAUAUCCAGUCUCUUGGGAUAGAACAUGAUGGAAGAUAGUAUGAGAAAAAGAAUGCAUAUAUAUGGAUGACUGGGUCACUAUGCUGUACAGUAGAAAUUAACACAACACUAUAAAUAUACUUUAAUAACAAUAAAAUUAAAAGAAAUUAGUGCCCUUUCAAACAUUCCUCCUCACUCAGGGGUGAUGUUGGGUUUCACUCUUUGGGUCAACAUCUUUGUUGGCCAGUCUUUCCCUGAUCAUUAUAAACACCAACACAAUGCCAACUAGUUGCAAAAUAAAAUCAAAACUCCUACUGAAAUAAUAAAGUCAAUCAAAUUGAUGUUGAAGAACUGCUCAAUCAGAUGUAAAACUGUUGAUAAGUGAAGAGCUACUAGAAAUACAGUUUUCAUGGAAGAAGAGAAAAUUUCAAGGAUGGUGACACAUAAGUUACUUCAAGAAAGAACACUCUCAGUAUCCUGGAAUUAAGAGAAGACCUUAAACAAAUUAAUGAAGUUCUUGAAUAUUUUCCUCCAAAACGAUCCUCUUGGUAAUCGUAGGAUGAAACUCAGGCAAGAAGUGGAGGACAUUGUAUUGUGCCAGCAUAUAAUUUUGCCAGAAAAAUCACACCUUCCAAAGGGGAAUGACUAUUUAUGUCAUCCUUUGUUCAUUCUAAGAAUAAAAACAGUUUUAAUUUAAAUAUACAUUUUAUAUACAAAAUAAGAUUAAUUUAUUUUUUAAGAUUUUUAGCUUGAUUCUAUAAGAUACAGUCCUCGUCACUUUUUUACUUGGACAUCAGUUCUAAUUUCAAAUAGAUUUUGUACCCAGGAUUUUCAGUAAAGAAGAUGACCUAUGAUUCUAGAAAUGACAGACUGAGACCCAGAAAGCAGAGCAUUUUUCUUGGGUCACACAUCUAGUAAGGGCAGCACUAGCCCAUGUGAGCCUUCCAUCACCCAGAGAUUGCUAUUCUCCAUGCAAAGGAGUGAGAAAUUGGCUUGCACGUCACGUGGCUUUUCAGUCAAGGUAAGAAUGUGAUGGCAGGAGAAGAAGUAAGACACUGAGGAAAGAUCUUAAGGAAGAUCAAAUAAAAUUUGUUUUCCCUUCACUUUAGCUAAAGAAAUGACAUGUCUAAAAUUGAUCCUAAUCCAAAACGUACAUUCCAGGGAUAAGUCUUGCCCAUUUUAAAGUGUUUUCUGGUGCAAUUAAGAGACACACUUAAGAUAGGGAUUAGUCUUGAUUAUCCUGUUUAGAGUUCUUUUUUAAAGUGAGUACACAGAGGAAACUGUAACGCUCCCCAGCACCAUCAUCCCUGCAGCCUUGCUCCUUCCAGGAAGUGAUAUUACAAGGCUAAAAGGAGUUCCAAGUUUCUAUGUGCUGAAUGUUUGUCCUCCAAAAAUUCAAAUGUUGAAGCCCUAACCUCCAAUGUGAUGGGAUUUGGAGGUGGGCCUUUGGGAGGUAAUUAGGUUUAGAUGGGAUCAGUGUGGUGGGGCGGGCGGCAUGGUGUGGUUAGCGCCCUUCUAAGAAGAAGAGAGACUAAUGCUCUGGCUCCUCAACAACACCCCACCUCCACCUUCCUCUUUCUCUCUCUGCAAGAAGGUGGUCAUCGACAAGGAAGUUCUCACCAGCAACAGAAGUUGCCUUGAUGUUGCACUUCCCAGCCUCCAAAGCUAUGAGAAAAUAGAUGUUUUCUGUUUAAACCAUCCGGUCUGUGGUAUUUUGUUAUGGCAGCCUGAGCUGACUAAGACC
ensembl:lncRNA